rnacentral:rRNA from 1 species
ACUCCUACGGGAGGCAGCAGUGGGGAAUAUUGCACAAUGGGCGCAAGCCUGAUGCAGCCAUGCCGCGUGUGUGAAGAAGGCCUUCGGGUUGUAAAGCACUUUCAGUCAGGAGGAAAGGUUAGUAGUUAAUACCUGCUAGCUGUGACGUUACUGACAGAAGAAGCACCGGCUAANACCNNG